UACGUAGGGUGCGAGCGUUGUCCGGAAUUAUUGGGCGUAAAGAGCUCGUAGGCGGUGUGUCACGUCGUUCGUGAAAACCUGCAGCUUAACUGUGGGCGUGCGGUCGAUACGGGCAUCACUGGAGUUCGGCAGGGGAGACUGGAAUUCCUGGUGUAGCGGUGAAAUGCGCAGAUAUCAGGAGGAACACCUAUAGCGAAGGCAGCUUGCUGGGACGUUACUGACGCUAAGGCGCGAAAGCGUGGGGAGCGAACAGG
rnacentral:rRNA from 1 species